AUUGAACGCUGGCGGCAGGCCUAACACAUGCAAGUCGAACGGUAACAGGAAACAGCUUGCUGUUUCGCUGACGAGUGGCGGACGGGUGAGUAAUGUCUGGGAAACUGCCUGAUGGAGGGGGAUAACUACUGGAAACGGUAGCUAAUACCGCAUAACGUCGCAAGACCAAAGAGGGGGACCCUCGGGCCUCUUGCCAUCGGAUGUGCCCAGAUGGGAUUAGCUUGUUGGUGGGGUAACGGCUCACCAAGGCGACGAUCCCUAGCUGGUCUGAGAGGAUGACCAGCCACACUGGAACUGAGACACGGUCCAGACUCCUACGGGAGGCAGCAGUGGGGAAUAUUGCACAAUGGGCGCAAGCCUGAUGCAGCCAUGCCGCGUGUAUGAAGAAGGCCUUCGGGUUGUAAAGUACUUUCAGCGGGGAGGAAGGGAGUAAAGUUAAUACCUUUGCUCACUGACGUUACCCGCAGAAGAAGCACCGGCUAACUCCGUG
rnacentral:rRNA from 1 species